ACGAAAUCCUAUUGCGCUGGAAUCCCGAGGAGAUUCGACACGAGGGCAAGAAUUCGUUUUUGAGCAGUUCAAACGUCCCUCAUCAUAAAUCAACGGUAUUCUGUCCAGAUCCUCUGCCAGUGGCCACAUCCAUCUAAAAUUCGGCCGGUGGGAAGUCGAACAGUUCCAUUUUUUAAGAGACGACGAGCAUCAAUGCCGCAUUCACAGUAUUUCUCUCUGAAAAUCAAGACAACAUGUUUCUAAGAACGCACAGACGCCUCCUUCUAUUUUCUUAUCAAAUAAUAACGAAACUUUGGAGUUCCUUUCCAUCGAGGGUGAAAAAUGUCAAAGUCCUCAAGACUGGUCUGCGCUGCCAAAUGCUUCAGAGUUGUUGCAGAAUUUUGGACACAAGUCAUCAUUUCCUCCGUCACAAUGAGUGAGUCCAGCUUCAGUAGUCUAUCAUUAGUAAUACGUGAGAUUUGCUAGUGACUUUAGUGAAGUCACUUUACUACAUAAUAUAUUAUGCAUUAUGAUAUGCGUUAUUGGUUUCUCACUUCUCGUAUGCACCCACAAAAUUUGCUUUUAGUUACACCCCAUCCAUCCAAUUGGUUUGUAUCCCAUGUCACAUCGAGAAGCCUAGCGUCCAUCAAGUGAUGGCGACACGAUGUGUCACAAUUUAUUUCUCCAGGAUAUGGCUUUCUUCCAAGCCCAGCAAUCAGUUUGUGAGUGUUGCAAAUGCAACUUCGUCUUGACUCUAUGUCGCAAAUUCCAUUAUCAUGACCUAAAAUUGUAAUGUUACUAUACAGAAAAAUUAUAAGGGUGGGGGUGGAAUUAUAAACGCCGUAAUUAAUAACUACGAAUACAAUUACAAAUCUGCAAUAAAUACGUUUUUAAGUGUUAUGUUAUUAUUAACUUACCGCAAAUCCAUCUGCAGAUUUCGUCAGUGCAUGGUCGAAAUUGGCUCAUUUCCAAUUCCUAUAAAUUGCAUUAGGGAAGAUUUGUUGGUGUUAUUCUGUGCGUUUCUACCUAUUGUAUUGAUGUACUUACAACUUUAAUGCAAUGACAAAAUUUGCCAUCAUAUACGAAAGAGAACAUUGACCAUCGAUACCACGGCGAAAAUCUUUCAGAUGAUGGGGAAAAAAGUGGAUUCUUUUCAAUGACUCGAGCUGAGAGACCGUGCGCAAAACAAGAAUCUUGACAAAAUUUUUCGCUGAAAAAGAUUUAAAACUGUUAAAAUAAGAACACAACUUUUCUCUUAAUAUGUAUGUAUGCUGCACAAUAAAUAAUCUAAAUACUUA